ensembl:lncRNA
AGAAAUGCAUCAGAGAAUGAAUGGCUGCUACAGAAGAAGGACUGGCUCUCUCCCCCGUGCACGACUGCGGAACUGGGGUUCGAGAACAUUCUCGUGAAUUUCAGGUCUGCAAGAAAAUAAUUCCAGAUCACAGCCUGGACACAUCGCCGCCGGGAAGCGAUGCAGAGCGGAAGGCCCAUCAAUGAUAAGUCUCUUUCUGGAUUCUGGGCUCAAAACUCCUCGGGCUUUAAGGCAGCAUGGACAAAAUGCAUUCUAAAGACACUCCUGAGGUGUCUGCCAUACGCCACCCUGUCCUAGCUGCAGGUGACGGAAGUGUCAACGGAGCAGAGACGGUUUCUGUCCUCCUGGAGUUUGCAUCCUUAUGGAGGAGACGGAAAACAGCCUCAUGAUCCAAGAAACACAUCCUAUAUAUAUAAAAAAAAAAGAAUCUCGAGAAAAAGUAGAAAAAAGAAGUGGCGACGGAGCGCACCGGGGCUGGAGUGGUCGGUUAGACGCGGUGGUGGCAGAGGCCUCCCUGAGGAGGUCGUGGUUGAUCCGAG